rnacentral:rRNA from 1 species
UGUUUCGGCAAGGGGGUCAUCCCGACUUACCAACCCGAUGCAAACUGCGAAUACCGGAGAAUGUUAUCACGGGAGACACACGGCGGGUGCUAACGUCCGUCGUGAAGAGGGAAACAACCCAGACCGCCAGCUAAGGUCCCAAAGUCAUGGUUAAGUGGGAAACGAUGUGGGAAGGCCCAGACAGCCAGGAUGUUGGCUUAGAAGCAGCCAUCAUUUAAAGAAAGCGUAAUAGCUCACUGGUCGAGUCGGCCUGCGCGGAAGAUGUAACGGGGCUAAACCAUGCACCGAAGCUGCGGCAGCGACGCUUAUGCGUUGUUGGGUAGGGGAGCGUUCUGUAAGCCUGCGAAGGUGUGCUGUGAGGCAUGCUGGAGGUAUCAGAAGUGCGAAUGCUGACAUAAGUAACGAUAAAGCGGGUGAAAAGCCCGCUCGCCGGAAGACCAAGGGUUCCUGUCCAACGUUAAUCGGGGCAGGGUGAGUCGACCCCUAAGGCGAGGCCGAAAGGCGUAGUCGAUGGGAAACAGGUUAAUAUUCCUGUACUUGGUGUUACUGCGAAGGGGGGACGGAGAAGGCUAUGUUGGCCGGGCGACGGUUGUCCCGGUUUAAGCGUGUAGGCUGGUUUUCCAGGCAAAUCCGGAAAAUCAAGGCUGAGGCGUGAUGACGAGGCACUACGGUGCUGAAGCAACAAAUGCCCUGCUUCCAGGAAAAGCCUCUAAGCAUCAGGUAACAUCAAAUCGUACCCCAAACCGACACAGGUGGUCAGGUAGAGAAUACCAAGGCGCUUGAGAGAACUCGGGUGAAGGAACUAGGCAAAAUGGUGCCGUAACU